UACGUAGGGUGCGAGCGUUGUCCGGAAUUAUUGGGCGUAAAGGGCUCGUAGGCGGUUUGUCGCGUCGGGAGUGAAAACCCAGGGCUUAACCCUGGGCUGGCUUCCGAUACGGGCAGACUAGAGGUAUGCAGGGGAGAACGGAAUUCCUGGUGUAGCGGUGAAAUGCGCAGAUAUCAGGAGGAACACCGGUGGCGAAGGCGGGUCUCUGGGCCGUAACUGACGCUGAGGAGCGAAAGCGUGGGGAGUGAACAGG
rnacentral:rRNA from 1 species